rnacentral:rRNA from 1 species
AGUCGAGGGGCAGCAUUUUAGUUUGCUUGCAAACUAAAGAUGGCGACCGGCGCACGGGUGAGCUAACACGCUAUCCAACCUGCCGAUAACUCGGGGAUAGCCUUUCGAAAGAAAGAUUAAUAUCCGAUAGUAUAUUAAAACCGCAUGGUUUUACUAUUAAAGAAUUUCGGUUAUCGAUGGGGAUGCGUUCCAUUAGUUUGUUGGCGGGGUAACGGCCCACCAAGACUACGAUGGAUAGGGGUUCUGAGAGGAAGGUCCCCCACAUUGGAACUGAGACACGGUCCAAACUCNUACGGGAGGCAGCAGUGAGGAAUAUUUGUCAAUGGACGAGAGUCUGAACCAGCCCAGUAGCGUAGAAGGAUGACUGCCCCUAUGGGUUGUAAACUUCUUUUAUAUGGGAAAUUAAAGUAUUCCACGUGUGGGAUUUUGUAUGUACCAUAUGAAUAAGGAUCGGCUAACUCCGUGCCCAGCAGCCGCGGUAAUACGGAGGAUCCGAGCGUUAUCCGGAUUUAUUGGGUUUAAAGGGAGCGUAGGUGGAUUGUUAAGUCAGUUGUGAAAGUUUGCGGCUCAACCGUAAAAUUGCAGUUGAAACUGGCAGUCUUGAGUACAGUAGAGGUGGGCGGAAUUCGUGGUGUAGCGGUGAAAUGCUUAGAUAUCACGAAGAACUCCGAUUGCGAAGGCAGCUCACUAGACUGCAACUGACACUGAUGCUCGAAAGUGUGGGUAUCAAACAGGAUUAGAUACCCUGGUAGUCCACACAGUAAACGAUGAAUACUCGCUGUUUGCGAUAUACAGUAAGCGGCCAAGCGAAAGCAUUAAGUAUUCCACCUGGGGAGUACGCCGGCAACGGUGAAACUCAAAGGAAUUGACGGGGGCCCGCACAAGCGGAGGAACAUGUGGUUUAAUUCGANUGAUACGCGAGGAACCUUACCCGGGCUUUAAAUUGCAUUUGAAUAAUCUGGAAACAGGUUAGCCGCAAGGCAAAUGUGAAGGUGCUGCAUGGUUGUCUUCAGCUCGUGCCGUGAAGGUGUCCGGCUUAAGUGCCAUAACGAGCGCAACCCUUUUCUUUAGUUACUAACAGGUCAUGCUGAGGACUCUAGAGAGACUGCCGUCGUAAGAUGUGAGGAAGGUGGGGAUGACGUCAAAUCAGCACGGCCCUUACGUCCGGGGCUACACACGUGUUACAAUGGGGGGUACAGAAGGCAGCUACCUGGCGACAGGAUGCUAAUCCCAAAAACCUCUCUCAGUUCGGAUCGAAGUCUGCAACCCGACUUCGUGAAGCUGGAUUCGCUAGUAAUCGCGCAUCAGCCAUGGCGCGGUGAAUACGUUCCCGGGCCUUGUACAAAACCGCCCGUCAAGCCAUGAAAGCCGGGGGUACCUGAAGUACGUACCGCAAGGAGCUCCUAGG